UCCUGGCCGUAAACGAUGAACACUAGGUGUCGGGGGAAUCGACCCCCUCGGUGUCGUAGCCAACGCGUUAAGUGUUCCGCCUGGGGAGUACGCACGCAAGUGUGAAACUCAAAGGAAUUGACGGGGGCCCGCACAAGCGGUGGAGUAUGUGGUUUAAUUCGAUGCAACGCGAAGAACCUUACCAGGGUUUGACAUCCUGCGAAUCUCUUGGAAACGAGAG
rnacentral:rRNA from 1 species